UACGGGAGGCAGCAGUGAGGAAUUUUCUGCAAUGGGCGAAAGCCUGACAGAGCAAUACCGCGUGAGGGAAGAAGGCUUACUGAGUUGUAAGCCUCUGUUACCUAAGGAGGAAGAUCUGACGUUACUUAGGAGACGAAGCAUCGGCUAACUCCGUGCCAGCAGCCGCGGUAAGACGGAGGAUGCAAGUGUUAUCCGGAAUCACUGGGCGUAAAGCGUCUGCAGGUGGUUUCUUAAGUCCACUGUUAAACCUUGAGGCUCAACCUCAAAUCAGCAAUGGAAACUAGGAAACUUGAGUAUAGUAGGGGUAGAGGGAAUUUCCAGUGGAGCGGUGAAAUGCGUAGAUAUUGGAAAGAACACCGAUGGCGAAGGCACUCUACUGGGCUAUUACUGACACUCAGAGACGAAAGCUAGGGGAGCAAAUGGGAUUAGAUACCCCAGUAGUCCUAGCCGUAAACGAUGGAUACUCGAUGUUGGGCGUAUCGACCCGUCCAGUGUCUUAGCUAACGCGUUAAGUAUCCCGCCUGGGGAGUACGCUCGCAACACUGAAACUCAAAGGAAUUGACGGCGA
rnacentral:rRNA from 1 species